rnacentral:rRNA from 1 species
CCUACGGGAGGCAGCAGUAGGGAAUAUUGCUCAAUGGGGGAAACCCUGACGCAGCACCGCCGCGUGGAGGAAGAAGGUUUUCGGAUUGUAAACUCCUUUUGUUAGAGAAGAUAAUGACGUUAUCUAACGAAUAAGCACCGUCUAACUCCGUGCCAGCAGCCGCGGUAAUACGGAGGGUGCAAGCGUUACUCGGAAGCACUGGGCGUAAAGAGCGCGUAGGCGGGAUAGUAAGUCAGUUGUUAAAUCCUAUGGCUAAAACAUAGAACAGCAGUUGAAACUGUUAUUCUAGAGUAUGGGAGAGGUAGGUGGAAUGCUUGGUGUAGGGGUAAAAUCCGUAGAGAUCAAGAGGAAUACUCAUUGCGAAGGCGACCUGCUAGAACAUAACUGACGCUGAUGCGCGAAAGCGUGGGGAGCAAACAGGAUUAGAUACCCGGGUAGUC